UUCCGUAGGUGAACCUGCGGGAGGAUCAUUA
rnacentral:rRNA from 1 species